UAUAUACUCCCUCCGUCCGGAAUUACUUGUCGCAAAAAUGGAUAAAAGCGGAUGUAUCUAGAACUAAAAUAUAUCUAGAUACAUCCAUUUCUUUGACAAGUAUUUCCGGAUGGAGGGAGUACAUU
rnacentral:pre_miRNA from 1 species